rnacentral:rRNA from 1 species
AUUGAACGCUGGCGGAAUGCUUUACACAUGCAAGUCGAACGGCAGCACGGACUUCGGUCUGGUGGCGAGUGGCGAACGGGUGAGUAAUGUAUCGGAACGUGCCCAGUCGUGGGGGAUAACGUAGGGAAAAUUACGCUAAUACCGCAUACGAUCUAUGGAUGAAAGCGGGGGAUCGCAAGACCUCGCGCGAUUGGAGCGGCCGAUAUCGGAUUAGGUAGUUGGUGGGGUAAAGGCCCACCAAGCCAACGAUCUGUAGCUGGUCUGAGAGGACGACCAGCCACACUGGAACUGAGACACGGUCCAGACUCCUACGGGAGGCAGCAGUGGGGAAUUUUGGACAAUGGGCGAAAGCCUGAUCCAGCCAUUCCGCGUGCAGGAUGAAGGCCCUCGGGUUGUAAACUGCUUUUGUACAGAACGAAAAGGUCUCUACUAAUACUAGGAGCUCAUGACGGUACUGUAAGAAUAAGCACCGGCUAACUACGUGCCAGCAGCCGCAGUAA